rnacentral:rRNA from 1 species
UAGUCCACGCCCUAAACGAUGAGAACUAGCCGUUGGGGGUCUUUAUACCUUUAGUGGCGAAGCUAACGCGAUAAGUUCUCCGCCUGGGGAGUACGGCCGCAAGGUUAAAACUCAAAGGAAUUGACGGGGGCCCGCACAAGCGGUGGAGCAUGUGGUUUAAUUCGAUGCAACGCGAAGAACCUUACCUGCCCUUGACAUUGACAGAAUCCUGUAGAGAUACGGGAGUGCCUUCGGGCCUGGAAAACAGGUGCUGCAAGGCUGUCGUCAGCUCGUGUCGUGAGAUGUUGGGUUAAGUCCCGUAACGAGCGCAACCCUUGUCCCUAGUUGCCAGCACUUCGGGUGGGAACUCUAGGGAGACUGCCGGUGACAAACCGGAGGAAGGUGGGGAUGACGUCAAGUCCUCAUGGCCCUUAUGGGCAGGGCUACACACGUGCUACAAUGGCCAGUACAGAGGGUUGCCAACCCGCGAGGGGGAGCUAAUCCCACAAAGCUGGUCGUAGUCCGGAUCGGAGUCUGCAACUCGACUCCGU